GGUGACAGAAGAAAGAGAGCACACAUGGUUCUUUUCUUGCAUGAACCGUCAUGUUGGAAGCUAUAUGUGCUCUCUCUCUAUCUGUCACC
rnacentral:pre_miRNA from 1 species